rnacentral:rRNA from 1 species
CCUACGGGGGGCAGCAGUCGAGAAUCAUUCACAAUGGGGGAAACCCUGAUGGGGCGACGCCGCGUGGGGGAAUGAAGGUCUGCGGAUGGUAAACCCCUGUCAUGGGGGAGCAAAUUAAAAAGAUAGUACCACAAGAGGAAGAGACGGCUAACGCGGUGCCAGCAGCCGCGGUAAGACAGAGGGCGCAAGCGUUGUUCGGAACCACUGGGCGUCCAGGGUGCGUCGGCUGUUUCGUAAGUCGUGUGUGAAAGGCGCGGGCUCAACCCGCGGACGGCACCUGAUACUGCGAGACUAGAGUACUGGAGGGGGAACCGGACUUCUCGGUGUAGCCGU